GGAAGUUACUGCCUUGCUCUCUGGACCUCCUGUCUCUUUUCUCUGAAUCUUCAUUCCCUCCUGUUCCUCUGUCUCUGACCCUGUCUCCAUGUCUGUCUCUUCCACUGCCUGGCUCCUUCCUCUUCUUCACUUGCUUCUGACAGUCAGGGUUUCUGCCUCGCCCCGUCUUUCUCUCUGUCCCUCCACGUCUUUGUUUUUCUCAUCUCCGCUUCUCUCUCCCUCCGUGUCCAGGUCUCUUCCUGUCCAUCCAUCUCUCAGCCUCAGCCUAGCUCGGUCCUCCACUCUGAUUCUCUCCCAUCCAUCUCCCUGGGCCUGACAGAGGCUCUUUGUCGAGUCUCUUCCUCUGUCUGCCCCCAUCCGUUGUUUUCUCUGUAUGUCGCUGGCUGCGCAUGUGCCACUGUUUCUAUCAUUUUCUCUCCAUCUAGCCAUUGAUCUCUGAUUCCCCUGCUCCGCUUCUCUGUCUCUCAUCCCUGUCACCACCUCCCUCUCUGUCACUUUCUUAUUCUCUCCCUGCCUCUUUGCACGCUCUUUGCACAUCAGGCCCGGCCCCAGCCCAGGGUCUCUGGGCUCCAGGAAGCCAGCCAGGGGCUGUGCGGGCUGCGCUGUAACUCAGGAACUCCGCCAGCAAUCAUUUCAUUAGAUAUCCCCCUGGGGCACCGGCCUAGAACAGAGCAACAAAUAUUUACUAAUUCCAUUAACAGAAGAGAGUUGGAAUUUUUUUUUCCCAAGCGAAUAUCCGAGGCCCCAAGUUCAUGCCACCCAAAGUUACACUUUGGUUCACCAAGACGAAGACUCAUCCUUCCUCUCUCUAUGGAUCUUUCAGAUGAAGAAAUUAAGGCUCAGGAGGGAGGAAAAAAAUAAAAGAAAGAAUUGUCCAAGGUCACCAAGGCAUCUGGACUCCCAUAUGUUGAGCUACUUCUGCUUGUGGGGCAGCUGCAAUACAUGAAUUCUUCACUACCAACUUAAUAUAAGCUAAGGAAUGCAAAAGAUUGCCAGCAAAUGACCAGAAGCUAGAGGGGAGGCAUGGAACAGAUCUUCUCUCACAGCCUCAGAAGGAACUAGCCCUACUGACAGCUCGAUCUCAGACUUCUAGACUCCAGACUGAUGUCAUCAGAAUUUCAAAUGGAUUUGAGUUCCCAUAGGAUUAAGAUCCACUGGCCUAAAAUCAGGGGGAAUUGAUGGGAGAAUUUCUGUAUUGACCUGUGAAAUUGAGCACCAAAGAAACAAUGCCGUGGACUCGCAGAGUGCAGCUAUCACACCAUUUGGUCCAGGAAACCCAAUUCAAAUGUCUACGGUGACAAAAGGCCGGAGGAUUUCUGCUCCAUGAAGUCUCUCAGAGAUCCAGGCUGAUACAGAGUUCAUCUUAACAAGUGCUUUCGUAGUCACCACAGCAGUGGGAAAUGAACAUGGAAAUCAUUGAUCAUGGCUCUUAAAGUUUCUGUUCCAAAGUGACACAGAGACAAGGUCUUGCUUUGACACCCAGGCUGGAGUGCAGUAGUGCAAUCAGAGGUCAUUACAGCCUCCAACUCCUGGGCUUAAGUGAUCCUCCUGCCUCAUCCUCCCAAGCAGCUGGAGCUACAAGUGUGCACCAUCAUGCCUGGCCCCUUUAUUCCUAAACGUUUCUUCAUGAAGGAAGAUACAAAUUUACAUGAGCCCAUGCUCUUCACAUGGGUAAGGGGAAAACAGAGAGAACUCACAGGGCACCCACAUAUUGUGCUUUAUCAUUUGACCUAGGAACAGUCUUGAAUAGGCAGCUUGGGUUUCUACUCCCAGAAAAUACUUUGACAUACAUUAAUUUAUUCACUUAAAACUCAUUAUUUCCUGGGUUUCCAUGCAGUGUCUCUGAAACUCACUCUUCCCCCUUUAUUCUCACAAUAUUGUAAAUAUCCUUAAUAUAAUCUAUCCUGCAAUUUCUUAUUGCUGCAUGCCCUCCUUCCUUCUUGGAGUGUGAGCUCUUUGGUGACAGGGACUACAUAUGCUUUCUCAUCCUUCCAGCACCUGUAACUGUUUCUGGCAUAUGUCGAGUAAUCGAUAAAAAACUUUAAGAUCUGCUAAUGAAUCAAGUUAUCGGUGAUUGUGCCUGGUAUCUUUCAUUUAUUUAUACAUUUAUCUGUGUGUGUAUUUGUACAUCCACCCAUGAAUUUAUCAAAGCAUCAUCCAUUCAUUCACCCACCCACCCAUUUUUCUCCAUGAUCUCACCCCAUUAACAAUUUGUAGAAAAUAGUCUGACAAAUUCACCCAAAAAGGCAGUAAAGGAAAAGGAUUUUCCAUCCAUUAUCCAUUCUUUUUUUCUGCCUUAAUUUUCCUUUCUACCAUCUCUCCUGCAUAUCUCUUCCUCUGUCUCUGGAGAGUUACAGGAGUGAAAACGAGAUGGGUCCUGAGAGUUGGUAUGGGGAGUAAAUUGCUUGGUGACAGCUUGGUUCCAGGGACGGAUGAAAACCUUAGCCUUAAGCAAAGUUCAGGGAAGCCCAAGGAGAGAGCUGAUGGACAGUCUGACUUGUUGAGGGUGAAAUCAAUUAAAGUACAUCAAAUCCAGAAUUCAUGCUUUCUCAGAGUGACAAAUCUAUGCUGGAAACUGAGAAAGACGAAAGGAGAAAAUUGCCUUUGACCUUUUGAAGACCGGCUGUUCCUUCUGUCAGGGGAGCCAGGCCUGGAGUGAGAUGCGUUCAUGAUGAAUUAUAACAGCCAGCCACCUUAAAAAAGAACGGGGUGAAAAGGUUACCAAAGAGAACCAAAAUGUGAGGAAUUCAACCAAACAUCAAGAUAAAUCAACUCAGGGCCAGGAGUAUUUGUGCCAUGCCUGCUCAGAGCCGCUAUGGACAAGCUCAGUUUGUUAGUUCAGCUCUUUGAAGCAUGAUAUGUAGACACACUUGCAUGUUCACACACAUUGUUUGCUAAACUGUGGGAAGGUAAUCAGAAGAGAAGAGCCACGAGGUUGUCAAUCUAGCAUCAGAAAUUUGGUGGCAUAGGAUUUCUCUACAAUGCUGUCCACUAAAACUUUUUGUAAUGAUGAAGAUAUCCUAUAGCCAAGCUGACCAAUACAAUAGACAUUAGUCAUAUGUGACUGUUGAGCACUUGAAUAUGGGUAGUGAAAUUGAAGAACUGAAUUUUUAUUUUUAGAUUUUAAUUAUUUUAAAUUUAAGUAGCUGCAGAUGGCUAAAAUUGAAUGGUGAACUUCCAGGACAAAGGAUGUUUUUGCCUUCAACAAUAUCGGAAAAGCAGGGGUGAGUGGAAUGUCAGAUUGCAAUGCAAUUGCUUGUGUUUCUGCGGAGUUCAUGGAAGAAACUCAUUAUACUCAUUUGUAAUGCUUGAUGGUAAAUUUGAUUUUCUCUUUAGAAUGUAGAGAUUAAAUCUUGGUUUAAAACUGCCUCUCUGUGAGCAGUUUCUCCAUCAGUGAAACGGGUGUAAUUUCAACUCGUUGAGAGUGCUCAGUUAUGCAAUAUAUGCAAUGUUUCUUAUCUGUGUCUGAAAACAGUUAAUAAAAGGUUGCUGUGCUUGACGCUAUUACUAUUAUUAGUAUUGUGAUUUAAAAACAAAGGAGGUUGUUGGUGAGAAAACAAGUUGUUCCACCUGGAGAUUUAUGCUGAAAUAACCACUUUACAUCACAACCCACGGAGUCCUUGAUGUUAGCUUGGUUUGUCAAUCCCACCACCAGAUACCAUUUAGAAAAUUGUCAUCUGUUCCUGGAUAACUGGUGUUUUCGUUUCCUAGAGAUCAAACUGAAGAUUGAAGAACAGAAAUCAUUUGUUGACAAUUGUCCUAGUUUCUUACUGGUUCCUCACUGAGGGGAAUUUUCCAAAUAACUAUGAUUUGCAUUCUUCAGCAUCCAGAUUAAUAUUACCUUUGCCAAAUUUGAGUCAUUUUGCCUGAAAAGCAUUCUUACCAAGUUUUACCAAGUUUUAAUAUUUCCUGUCUUUAGAAAAAAAAUAUACAACAAGACUUAACCUUUUAAAAUUUUUUUCUGAAACACACACACACACAUCCAUAUGCACACAAGCACACACACACACACACUUACCCAGAGGCAUAAAAUUUACAUAACAUAAAAUUAACUUUUGGUUGCUUCCACCUUUUGGUUAAUGUGGAUAGUGCUGUUAUGAUACAAUAAGCUGUUCAAUAAUUCGUUUCAGUACCUGUUUUCAAUUCUUUUCGGUAUAUACCUAUGAGUAGAAUUGCUGGAUUGUAUGUUAAUUCUAUGUUUAACAUUUUGAGGAAUUGCAAAACUGUUUUCCAUAAUGGCUGCAUCAUUUUACACUCCUACCAGCAAUGUAAUGCUCACCAACACUUGUUAUUCUCCUUUUAAAAAAAUUAUAACUAUCCUAGUGGGGGUGAAGUGGUAUCUCAUUGUGUUUUUUUAUUUGCAUUUCCCUAACAAGUAAUGAUAUUGAGCAUCUUUUCAUGUGCUUAUUGGCUGUUUGUAUAUCUUAUUCAGAGAAAUGUCUAUUCAAGUUAUUUACUUAUUUUAUUGCCUAAUUGCUCUGGCUAGAAUUUCUCAUGCAACAUUAAAUGGCAGUGAUGAAAGUGGACACCCUUGCCUUAUUCCUGAUUUUAGGAAGAAAGCUUUCAGUCUUUCAUAAUUCUCUGUGAUUCUUACUGUGGGGUUUUCAUAAGCGUUCUUUCUCAAUUUAAGGAAAUUCCCUUCCAUUCCUAAUUUUAUGAGUAUUUUAAAAAAUUAUCAAAGGUAUUGGAUUUUGUCAAAUGCUUUUUCUGGGUUGUAUGAGAUUACAUAUUUUUUCUUUGUUCUAUCAAAAUGUUGCAUUACAUUGGUUUUCUUUUUCUUUUCUUUUUUUUUUUUUUUGAGACGGAGUCUUGCUCUUGGACUCCUUGAACCACCCUUGGACUCCUGGGGUAAAUACCACUUGGUCAUGGUGCAUAAACCUUUUAAUAAGCUGUUGAAUUUUGUCUGCUGGUAUUUUGUUAUGGAUUUUUGCAUCUGCAUUAAUUGGUGUGUAAUGGCAUCUUUGUCUAGUUUUGAUAUCAGGGCAAUAUUACAUUCAUAGAAUAAGUCAGCAUGCAUUUCCUUCUCUUCUCUUUUUUUUCUUGGAAAAGAUUGAAAAAACUUGAUGUUAUUUCUUCUUUAAACAUUUGGUAGAAUUCACAGGUGGAGACAUAAUCUUUUUUUUUUUAAUUCAGUCUCUUUACUUGUUGUGUUAUAGGUUUGUGCAGAUUUUCGUUUUCCUCUUGAGUCAGUUUUAGUAAUUUGUGUGUUUCUAGGGAUUAUUAUACUUCAUGUAGGUUAUAUAAUUUGUUGGCAUACUGUUUGUUGGCAUGUUGUUCAUAGUAUUCUCUAAAAAGCCUUUUUAUUUCUGUAAGGUGGAUAGUAAUGUCUCCACUUUUAUUUCUGAUUUUAGUUAUUUGCAUCUUUUAUUAUUUUCUUUUCUGUUUUUUUUUUUGUUGUUGUUUUGUUUUUGUCAGUCCAGCUAAAGGCUUGUCAAUAUUCUCAACCUUUCCAAAGAACCAAUUUUUGGUUUUGUUAAUUCUCUUCAUUGUUUUCCUGGUCUCUUUUGUUUAUCUCUUCUUUUGUUUUCUUCCUGUCAUUAUCUCUCUUCUUCAUCUAAUUUUUAGUAAAGUUUGUUCUUAUUUUUCUAGUUCCUUAAGAUGUAAAGUUUGGUUAUUAAUUAGAGGAUUUUUCUUUUUCCCCUCCCUGAGAUGGAUUCUCACUCUGUUACCCAGGCUGGAGUGCAGUGGUGUGAUCUCUGCUCACGGCAACCCCCGCCGCCUGGGUUCAAGCGAUUCUCCUGCCUCAGCCUCCCGAG
rnacentral:lncRNA from 10 species